GACGAACGCUGGCGGCGUGCUUAACACAUGCAAGUCGAACGGAAAGGCCCUGCUUUUGUGGGGUGCUCGAGUGGCGAACGGGUGAGUAACACGUGAGUAACCUGCCCUUGACUUUGGGAUAACUUCAGGAAACUGGGGCUAAUACCGGAUAGGAGCUCCUGCUGCAUGGUGGGGGUUGGAAAGUUUCGGCGGUUGGGGAUGGACUCGAGGCUUAUCAGCUUGUUGGUGGGGUAGUGGCUUACCAAGGCUUUGACGGGUAGCCGGCCUGAGAGGGUGACCGGCCACAUGGGGACUGAGAUACGGCCCAGACUCCUACGGGAGGCAGCAGUGGGGAAUAUUGCACAAUGGGCGGAAGCCUGAUGCAGCAACGCCGCGUGCGGGAUGACGGCCUUCGGGUUGUAAACCGCUUUCGCCUGUGACGAAGCGUGAGUGACGGUAAUGGGUAAAGAAGCACCGGCUAACUACGUG
rnacentral:rRNA from 1 species